AGAGUUUGAUCAUGGCUCAGAACGAACGCUGGCGGCGUGGAUAAGACAUGCAAGUCGAACGGAGUUUAUUUUGAUAGCAAUAUUAAAGUAAGCUUAGUGGCGAAAGGGUGCGUAACACGUGGGAAUCUACCGAGAAGUGGAGAAUAGCUCACCGAAAGGUGGGAUAAUGCUUCAUGUGAACGAGAGUUUAAAGUCAGGGACCGCAAGGCCUGACGCUUCUUGAGGAGCCCGCGGCCUAUCAGCUAGUUGGAGAGGUAAAAGCUCACCAAGGCGAUGACGGGUAGCUGGUCUGAGAGGACGACCAGCCACACUGGAACUGAGACACGGUCCAGACACCUACGGGUGGCAGCAGUCGAGAAUUUUUCACAAUGGGGGAAACCCUGAUGGAGCGACGCCGCGUGGAGGAUGAAGGUUUUCGGAUUGUAAACUCCUGUCACCAUAGAACAAGCAAUACAGGCUAACAGUUUGUAAAGUUGAUAGUACAUGGGGAGGAAGGGACGGCUAACUCUGUGCCAGCCGCCGCGGUAAUUC
rnacentral:rRNA from 1 species